ACGGGUGAGUAAUACGUAGGGAUCUGCCUUGAAGAGUGGGACAACCCGAGGAAACUCGGGCUAAUACCGCAUGAUCUCUGAGGAGGAAAGGCUAGGGGUAACUCUGGCGCUUUAAGAGGAACCUACGUCCGAUUAGCUAGUUGGUAAGGUAAAGGCUUACCAAGGCGAUGAUCGGUAGCUGUUCUGAGAGGAAGAACAGCCACACUGGGACUGAGACACGGCCCAGACUCCUACGGGAGGCAGCAGUGGGGAAUAUUGGACAAUGGGGGCAACCCUGAUCCAGCGAUGCCGCGUGUGUGAAGAAGGCCUUCGGGUUGUAAAGCACUUUAGUUGGGGAAGAAGAAUUGUUGUUUAAGAGAUGGCAAUUUUGACGGUACCCAAGGAAUAAGCACCGGCUAACUCUGUGCCAGCAGCCGCGGUAAUACAGAGGGUGCGAGCGUUAAUCGGAAUUACUGGGCGUAAAGGGCGCGUAGGCGGUUUGAUAAGUGAGAUGUGAAAUCCCCGGGCUUAACCUGGGAACUGCAUCUCAGACUAUGAGACUGGAGUACAGUAGAGGGUAGUGGAAUUUCCGGUGUA
rnacentral:rRNA from 1 species